UUAAUUGAAGAGUUUGAUCAUGGCUCAGAUUGAACGCUGGCGGCAGGCCUAACACAUGCAAGUCGAGCGGUAACAGAUUGAUAGCUUGCUAUCAAUGCUGACGAGCGGCGGACGGGUGAGUAAUGCCUGGGAAUAUGCCCUGAUGUGGGGGAUAACUAUUGGAAACGAUAGCUAAUACCGCAUAAUCUCUUCGGAGCAAAGAGGGGGACCUUCGGGCCUCUCGCGUCAGGAUUAGCCCAGGUGGGAUUAGCUUGUUGGUGGGGUAAUGGCUCACCAAGGCAACGAUCCCUAGCUGGUCUGAGAGGAUGAUCAGCCACACUGGAACUGAGACACGGUCCAGACUCCUACGGGAGGCAGCAGUGGGGAAUAUUGCACAAUGGGGGAAACCCUGAUGCAGCCAUGCCGCGUGUAUGAAGAAGGCCUUCGGGUUGUAAAGUACUUUCAGUUGUGAGGAAGGCGUUG
rnacentral:rRNA from 2 species